CAAGUAACUGAGCCAGACACCCACAAGCUUCCGUACCUUCAGGCUGUGAUCAAGGAGACUCUUAGACUCCGGAUGGCAAUUCCUCUUUUAGUCCCACACAUGAACCUUCAUGAUGCAAAGCUUGCUGGAUAUGAUAUUCCAGCAGAGAGCAAAAUCUUGGUUAACGCUUGGUGGUUGGCUAACAACCCCGCUCACUGGAAGAAACCGGAAGAGUUCAGGCCCGAGAGGUUCUUGGAAGAGGAGAAGCACGUCGAUGCCAAUGGCAAUGACUUCAGAUUCCUUCCAUUCGGUGUUGGUAGGAGGAGUUGCCCCGGAAUUAUCCUAGCGCUGCCAAUUCUCGGCAUCACUUUGGGACGUUUGGUGCAGAAUUUUGAGCUAUUGCCACCUCCGGGGCAGUCAAAGCUCGACACCACGGAGAAAGGUGGACAGUUCAGUCUCCACAUUUUGAAGCAUUCCACCAUUGUGAUGAAACCAAGAUCUUUCUGAACUGUGUAAUACUAUCUAUCAGUUAAGGGGCUCUGGAGAAAUCUGAUAAUUAUGAUUAUUGUUGUUUGAUUGUAAACUUUUAUUUAAGUUCGACAGAAAACAUUCUUCUUUCUUUUGCCAUAUAAAAGCCUUCUUGGACUAGAUUCAUUGUAAGUUCUGCCUAUCUGAUGUAUUUUCUUGAUGUACAAUGGGAAUUUUGCUUUCUGACAUUUGCAUUUCUUUUUUUUGCAAAAAUCAUGGAGUUGAUUUCUUAUACGAUUAUUUAAUUAAUCAUUAUUCCAAAAGUCACUUUUCUGAUCAAGAAAAACUGUGACUAGUUGCGUGAAAAAUCAAUUAUAAAAAAUGCGUUGACUUUUGGACCUUGUAGUACUUUCUGAUUACUACAAUGAUAGAAGCCUCAAAUUGAGGGGAGCGCUUUCAUUCGUCUUUUGCUCUAAUUCGAACUAACAAUCGGUUGAAAGUGAGGUGCACUUGUUAUUUGAGCAGCUUCAUCUUGUCAAUUACAUUAAUUAUUAUUCAUUAAUAGUCAAUUUGUAUGUAAAUGCAGGUUAUUUAACUGUGAUUAAGUGAUAAUUAACCGUAAUUAAGUGAUAAAUUCAUAUAAAAACAUGUAAUAGGAGUACAUUUAUCUUUAAUAUUAAAGAAAAUGAAUGCAACAUUGAAUGUGUGAAAAUAGUUGGUGAACCUGGUCCAGCAUCCAUUAAUUUUACCUGGCCUAUGAAGUCAAAUAAAUCCUAUUUAAAUCUUAGUAUUACUUUUCUUCACCAAACCCCGUUAGGUAAUUUUAAACAACUCGAUCAAAUCAAAUUGAUUUAGUUCAUUUCAACUUUUUGGAAAAAUGAGCCAAAAUAUAUUUAGCCAAAUAGUUGCUAUAUUUCGAUUUAAAUAUUUUGGAUUAAUUAAUACAUCACAUUAGUCUCAACAUACAGUAAAAUUUUGAGUGCGUUCGAAUUGAGACUAAUGUAUAUAAUUAAGGAAAUGACAUAUGUUAUGUGGUUAACUUGAUUAUCUGAUAGACGUUUGAGAACAAGCGUAAUUUCUUUUGCAAAAUCUAAACCAAAAUCGUUUGAUGAAUAUUUUACUGUGUAUACAAGUGCUCAACUGAACAAGAUGCAGUUCAAAUAUUAGAAAUAAAAUUUAAUAGAUUUUCGAUGUCUAUUUUAUAUAUUUUGAACUUUGGCUCUUUAAACUAUCAUCUACUCAGUAUAAUCAACUUUAACACCAUAUCAAUUAUACCUUGGGUUGUACAGUGUAUAAUGGUGAAUUUUGGUCCAAAGUAUUCAAAUAAAAAAUAAAGAAAUUUGACCUCAUAAAUUAAGUCAAGAUAAGAUUUUGAUCACUAGAAUUGAAUUUCUUAACCUAUAUGUACUUUGAUUGUCUAAAUAAUUUUAAAUUUUGACAUGUAGAACGUUGAUUUGGUUUAAGUUUAAUCCUAAAAAGAACGGCUUAAUGAGUAUAUUUAAUCCCGUAAGUUAGUAGGCGUUUUGUCUUAAAAAAUCAAUAUAAUUCAUUUAUAUGAAAUUUUUAAAGUUAAAGUUGUAUUUAACUACACUCUUUGUAAAAAAUAUUUAAAACUUAAAUAUAAUUUUGAAAAAUAUGUCUUAUACCCAUAAUUUUUUAAAACUAAUAAAAUCAUUCAAUUUGACUUGUUUAUUUAAAAAAAAAAAAACAAAUCUUCUCUAAAAGAAUAUCACAUCUAUUGCACCAAAUUAAAAUAAGGACGAACUAUCAACCAGUUAGGUAAAAGUUGACACAAUCAAAAGAAGAAGAAAAAAAGCAUAAAAAAUGUUUUCCAACAAUUGAGCUAAAAGAAAAUUGAAGAUGUAAAUACAUAAUCCAAUUGAAAAUGUUUCACCUAGGAGGAGUUAGAAUUUAGAAAAGGCAAAUUAGACUAUACUAUAUUUGAACUCUAAAAGUGAUUUUUUCCAAAUUAGACUUUUCUUAUGGUAUUAACUCUCUGAUGUUUUUAGGAUUUAUUAUAUAUUUUAAUAAGAUCAAAUAUUUGGGGAAGGCCUGGGGUGUUUAUUAUUUAUGUUUAUACGACAAUUUAUGAUGAUUUUGUUAGUUAGUUUUUUUUUUUUUAAUAUAUAUAAUAACAUAUGAAUUAAUCAGAGAUAAUUGAAUUAUGUAAUAAAAUAAAGGAAGAACCACAUAGAAUAGAAUGGAAAGAGAAGAGAGAUUGAUUAUUAUUUCUCCUCUUAAGAAGUUUCUUCGUAGAUUAAUUACAAUGAAUGAAAAUUCCUUUAUUUAUAUGGAAAAAUUAACCUUGAAAUUUUUAACUUUUUCAUAAAUAGAUAUUCACUAUAUAUGGUAAAGUAGACAUUCAUUGUAUAUGGUAAUAUAUUUAUAACACUCCUCCUUGAAUGUCUAAUUGAUAGAUAAUGUGUCUCAUUAAAACCUUACUAGAAAAAAUCUUGUGGAAAAAAAAAAUCUAGUGAAGGAAAAUAGUACACAUCUCUAACAAUACACAUAUAGGUUGUCUCAUUAAAAAUCUUACAAGAAAAACCCAUUCGGACAAAAUCUCGUAAGAAAAAAAAAGUAUAUCGCGUAUUAACUCUCCUUAAUGAGAACAUCCUUGUACCUCGAUCUUGUGCACCAUCUUCUUGAAAGUUGCAAUUGGAGGGGACUUGGUGAAUAAAUCAACCACAUUGUCACUUGAACGAAUAUGUUGCACGUUAAUAUCAUCAUUCUUUUGUAGCUUAUGUGUAUAGAAAAUUUUUGGCGCAAUGUGUUUCGUUCUAUCUUCUUGAGUCCUCCCUUAAGUUGUGUUGUGUGUGUUGCAUUAUCUCCGUAUAAAAUUGUGGGUACAUUGUUAUAUUUCACAUCACAUUUUUCUCGAAUGAGAUUUAUCAUGAAUCUCAACCAUACUCAUUCUCGGCUUGCUUCAUGAAUAACUAUUAUCUCAGCAUGAUUCGAUGAAGUGGCUAGAUAGACUGCUUUGUAUAUCUCCAAGUUAUGACAGUACCCCCACAUAUGAACACAUAACUUAUUUGUGAUCGAGCUUUAUACGGGUCAGAUAAGUAUCCGGCAUCAACAUAACCAACAAGAUCGGGACUAAAAUUUUUAGAAUAAACAAGCUCAUAUGUUUGAUCUCAUUUCGAUGUCUCCUAGUAGGAGCAGAACUAUAUCUUGCUAACAAAUUGACCGAAAAGACUAUAUCAGACCUUGUGAUAUUUGCAAGAUGCAUGAGUGCACCAAUUGCACUAAGAUGUGGUACUUCAUAACCAAUCUAAAUUGGUAUAUUUUUUAUUUUAGCAAAUAAUCUAUUACUUUUGAAAACUCUCCAAGAGUUUCAAUAAUAUUCAAACCAUCAAUUUAUCCCUUAUAGGGAUAAUAAACAAGUUUUUCAGAAACUUUAUAUGCUUCAGGCAUUUUAAAUCCUUUAGAAAUUUUCAUAUAGAUUUUUGUCAAGUGACAAUAUCAAUAUGUGUAACAUAAGUGUCUGGACUGCAAAUCAAAUAAAUAUUAUGCUUACCAAGAUGCAUCAUUUCAUGUCACUUGAUAAAUGUUUCUAUGUUAGCAUGCAAAAUUCAAAUCCUCGUAAUCUUUUACAAUAUUGCUCUAAUAUUGUAUCAAAGAUAUCGUUGAUGUUUCUCAUUUUUUAUCGAUUCGCAAUGUGACAUAACAUUUUGAGAUCUCUAUCACUUCAUUAUUUUCAGGUACCUGAACCUCUCAUAAGGUUUCAUGAAGUGUCAUGUCGUAGGUUCUUCAAGAGCACAUUACCUUCUUGCUAUGAUCAUUUGUUUCAUUUUCUUUUUAAAAAAUUAUUGCAUUCAAAACCGAUUGAUCUACCAUGUUUCAUACAUGUAGUAGACUUUGCCCUUCAGAGACAUCCAAUUGAAGCAUUUACAGCAAAAUAUAAUAUCAAUUUUUGGAUCAACAAAUGCUCCUAGCAUUUGAACUUGAAUUAUCCUUUGAAUAGGGAUCAUAUUGAUGAUAAUUCAUAACAUAUUUCUUAAAUGUUUAUUAUCUCCCCCUCAUACUAGGAAAACUAACAUACAUCUUAAUUUGCUUUAGAGAAUUCAUCUUUGUGCACAUGAUAUAUCCAUUGAUCAAAUACCACAUAUUAAAACUACUGAUGAAAUAAUUGGUUCCUGACCUUGAACUAAUUGAGAGGGGAAUUUACUGAUCUAAUGCAUACGAGUGUUAUUGUAUGUAAUAUAUCAUAUUUCAUACCAACACAUGCAGCUCUGUUCUCAUUAGCAAUGAUUUAGCUAUUAUCGAAGACAUUCAAUGCCAAAUCAGCAUUAUCAAGAUAAAUUAUCUUGAUUAUAUAAUAUGAAAAUUAUGCUUUUAACUCCAUUUAUAUUGAGCAAGCAAAUCUAUGAAUGCCAACUAUAGGUUGACAAUAGACGUACAUAUGAUCAUCUUAUAUUGAUGUGUCUUAAUAUAUAUUACAUGAUAGAUGAACGGUCCCUUAUUCACCUUUAAUAUUUUUUUCAGAUUUUAAGGGAUCCAAUCACAACAUUAGUUGGUCCAACCAAUUUAUCAUGAGAGCACACAACAUUAAGAGUUAAUGAAGGAUUUUCGAAUUCUUCAAUAUUUGUUUAAUACUCAGUAUGCACAUCUUUGGGAUGUCGCAAUUGUUCAUGUUAAUUUAUGAACUUUUAUUAUAGCAAAUUCCAAGUUUACCAUGACAUAUACCUUUUACUUUACUAAAUUUCAGAUUUACUAUUACAUGAAUAAAUUUUAGAUUUACUACUUUAAAAGUAGAUUUUAUAGUAACUCUUCUCAGUUAUUCAACCUCUUUCGGCGGUGAGUUGUGAUACCAUCACAAUCACGUGUGCGUUUGCAUUAAAAAGCUUCUCAUUCCCCAGGAAUGAAAUAUAAUUGUGCCUUAAACCUAUCAAAUUAUGAUAGCUUAUAGCCUCUUUUUAAGAUAUUGCUAAUUCAGGAGCAAAUCGAGGCAUACAUAUGGUUGUAGAGAAAUUUUCUCUAACAUAUCUUUUAAUCAUGAUAAAUGUGUAAAAAUAUUAUCACUUUUGAUGAUUAUUAUCAUAUUGUCCCUCCACGUUUAUAUCCGUGCAUUCAAUCACUUGUCUUCUUUCAGACAUAUUAUGCACUGCUACCAUAUACACACAUACACUUAAAAAAUGAAGUAAGUUGUCAUAUUUCAGACUUAUCAUAUAUUGCUACCACAUUCACUUCAUGGAAUGGAGCAAAUUUAAUGAGUUGGAUUUCAUAACUUUUCAUCAAAUACUCAUUAUUUUGUCUUAGCCAUCAUAAUAUCAUCAGUAUAGUGCAUUGAGAUUCAAACUCAACGUCUUAUCCACAUAAAUGCAUCUUAUGCUAUAAAUAGAUCGGACUUGAACCCAACAUCUUAUCAUCAUGGUGCAUUGAAACUUUUAACCCAAUGUCUUAAUGAGAUGAGACUUAAAUUCAUCAUCAUAUUUUUUAAUAAUAUUGUUCUUCAUGAACAAAUUGAAACCAUAAGUGGUUCCAAACCAAUUAUUUUUCUCCCAAAUCCAACAAUAAUUAUAUCAUUAGUUGAAAAGGACAAAUAACAUAAGAAAUUACUAAUCUUGAAAUUACUUUUAGAUUUAUAUUCUCACUUUGUUUGACAAAUUCUCAUGCUGAUAACGUGUUAUAAAAUAUAAAACAAGAACAACAAGAAUAGAAUAGAGCGAGAAGAGAGAGUGAUUAUUAUUUCUCCUCUUAAGAAGUUUCUUGAUGGGUUAAUUACAAUGAAGGAAAACCAUUAUUUAUAGGGGAAGACUAACGUUUCUAAGAAACUUUUUCAUAAAGGUAAAAUAGAAAUUCACUAUAUAUGAUAAUAUAUUUAUAACAAAUUAUUCAAUUUAAAGAUAGUUGAGGAUUGAGAGUUAAUCACAAAUUCUUCAAUUUUGGAUUGUGACAAUUUUGUCUCUUCCCAUAUACAUUUGAAUUCACUCAAUUUAAAGAUAAUUGAGUGUCGAAUCACUAAUUUUUUAAAUUUUGAAUACUGAAAAUUAUAUUUCUCUUCUUAUGCACUCGAAUUACUCAGAUAAUCAUAAUUAAUUAACACAAAUUAAAGAUAGUUGAGUGUCAAUCACGAAUCUUCUAAAUUUUGAAUUAUGGAGAUUUUGAAUAAGUUCUUUACUCUUUGAUUCUGUCAAGAUAUAUCCUUUAUAUAAUUUUUAGAACAAUAAUUGCAUGUGGCAAAAAAUAACUAUAAAAGUUUUCAGGAUUAAACUUAUUUGUAAAAGUUCAUAGCCUAGGUUAGAGUAUUCUUAACUUUUUUUUUUUAUUUUUUUUAUUUUUUUACACUUAAACAACAAUGGCUGAAGAUAUUUUCAUUUAACUUUUCCGCUGCUUUGACUUUGUAAUAUGUGUUUUUUUUUUUUUUUGGUAAACACUUUGUAAUAUGUGUUGAAAAAGAAAAUGACGAAAACCUAAACAACGUGCGGAGGAAAACUACUUUUCUUUCUUAUAUACUUUUAACUUUAAGAAUAUCAAUUUGAUAUUUUGCGAACUCUUAAUGAUAACAUGAGCAGGCUGCCUAAUUCAGUUUCUAAUUAAAAUAUAUAAAAAAAAGGGUAAUUCGGUGCACUAAAGCUAUCGCUAUACGCCGUGUCCGGGGAAGGGCCCUACCACAAGGGUGUAUCGUACGCAAUCUUACCUUGUAUUUCUACUUAAACCUGUGACCUCCUGAUCUCAUGACAUCAACUUUACCCGUUACUGCUCCCGAAAAUAUCUUCCUAAUAAUUCAGCCUCAACUCAUUUUCACAUUAGAUGAGGAUGCAGGUGUUUGACCAAAAGACUUGGAAUUCAAUUUUAAGUUUUGAUUUGAAAUUAUCGUUUGUUUAUAAGAUUUGUACAAAAAUUAAAAUUUUAGAUACUUUAAAAGUAAGAUUUCAAAUUUCAACCUGCAAUGUCAAUUUUUUUAAAUGUAAAGUUUGAUCUAUUAAUUUAUAUUUUAUUUAAAAAAAUUAACAUUGAUGUGAAUAUAUCGCAUGUAUCAUAUGGAGGAAUUAUUUAAAAUGUAAAAUUUGAUCUAUAAAUUUAUAUUUUAUUUAAAAAAAUUAACAUCGAUGUGAAUAUAUCGCAUCUAUUAUAUGGAGGAAUUAUAUUAAAUAAUAACUAGUUAAUUUUCAUAGAAUUAUGCAUUUACAAAACCUUUGUAAUAGGCUAAUAGCAUGUAUCACAAGCAUUUAUUUAUAAAAAUAAAUAAAUGAAGAUAUGCAUUUUAUUAAUGCGACACUUAGUAUAUAUGAAUAUAUUAUUUAUAAAUCAUGAUGUGGUAAUUAACAAGAUUGUAUAAAUAUUGAGAAGUUUAAUAUAGUUUCACAAAUUGUGAGACUUUUAUAUUUAUGAAUAAAAAUAUAAUCUGAAGAAUCUAAAUUAUAUAUCCAAAUAAAAUUUUGACUUUAAAUCAAUCUUGGCUGCCUAAUAAAGUCAAUCUGCAUUCAUUUUUUCACAUUAGAUCCAUAACAGUAAUUACCAAUACAGCAAGAUUAUUUUCUUUGUAUUCAUAUUUUUACAAGACUAAUUCAAUCUUAUAUUCAAAAUUGUAUUAAUCAAAACAUUAAUGAUGUAUGCAUCUGGCUAAGGUCUACUACUACAAGCUCACCAAACCCCCCACAUACCAUUCCUCUUACCUAACCCCAUCUACCAUUCCGUUAAACUUAACGCCGUUAACUUCCACCUAACCUCCAAUUUUUCCCUCUAUAAAAAAUACUCAAAACACUCUUCUCCAUUGCAUUACCAAAACAUUCUUCUUUAAAUUUCCUUAGAAGAACCCCAUUUUUGUACCAAAAAAAUGGAUCUUCUCUUACUAGAGAAGACCUUAAUAGGCCUUUUCUUUGCCAUUUUAGUAGCUAUUAUUGUGUCUAAAUUGCGGAGCAAGCGUUUUAAGCUGCCCCCAGGUCCAAUUCCAGUCCCAGUUUUUGGUAACUGGCUGCAAGUUGGCGACGAUUUGAAUCAUCGUAACCUCACUGAUUACGCGAAGAAGUUUGGUGACAUUUUCUUGCUUAGAAUGGGGCAAAGAAACUUGGUCGUUGUGUCGUCCCCUGAAUCAGCUAAAGAAGUUUUGCACACCCAAGGGGUUGAAUUUGGAUCAAGAACGAGAAAUGUAGUCUUUGAUAUCUUCACUGGAAAGGGUCAAGAUAUGGUUUUUACUGUAUACGGUGAGCAUUGGAGGAAGAUGAGGAGGAUUAUGACUGUACCCUUUUUCACUAAUAAAGUGGUUCAGCAAUACAGAGGGGGUUGGGAGUCUGAGGUGGCUAGUGUUGUUGAGGAUGUGAAGAAGAAUCCUGAAUCUGCUACGAAUGGGAUUGUUUUGAGGAAGAGAUUGCAACUCAUGAUGUAUAAUAAUAUGUUCAGGAUUAUGUUUGAUAGGAGAUUUGAGAGUGAAGAUGAUCCCCUUUUCGUAAAGCUUAGAGCUUUGAAUGGUGAGAGGAGUAGAUUGGCUCAGAGUUUUGAGUACAAUUAUGGUGAUUUUAUCCCUAUUUUGAGGCCUUUCUUGAGGGGCUACUUGAAGAUUUGCAAGGAAGUUAAGGAGAAGAGGUUGCAGCUGUUCAAGGAUUACUUUGUUGAUGAAAGAAAGUAAGUUUUGUUCACUUUAUUUUAUUUAUAUUCAAUUUGUUGUUUUCCUCAGUUUUAUUGUCUUAAGAUAAAUGUGUAGGAUAUAGGAUGAAUCUAAAGAACCAAUCUUUAUUUAGUUUCUUUCAUAAAGUAGGUCUAUUGGUGAUAAUGAUCUUUAGGAUGUGGGGAUCACAUAACACACUGUUGAUCUUGAUCUUUUUGGUCUAUUCAAUGGGUAUCUUUUCCCAAACAGCCACCCCAAGAGAACAUUUACCUUGCCAUAAGGCACCUUGUCUUCUAGCCAAUUGAGGAUUUUGACUAAUUCCCCCUCUGGAUUUCCAGAACUUUUGACUUUGUCACUCUAAAGUUUUGGCAAGCAGAUCAUUCAAUAGCAUCAACUAUUUAGGGGAUUUUGUUGCAAGUCCUGCUCAAUGAAGGUUGGUGUGAUUGGAGUGCUUUGAGGUACCAUUAGUUUGUAACAUUUUUAUUGGCUUUGUGCAGGAAGCUUGCAAACACCAAGAGCAUGGACAGCAAUGCUCUAAAAUGUGCCAUUGAUCACAUUCUUGAUGCUCAACAGAAGGGAGAGAUCAACGAGGAUAACGUUCUCUACAUUGUCGAGAACAUCAAUGUUGCUGGUAUGUUUCAAAAUAACCUAUCUUUAGUUCUCUUGAGUACAACUUGUUCUAGUUUGGUUUAGUAUGUGCAUGCAUUUCCUAGUGAAAGGUUGAAAAGAAUUUCUAACAGUACUUGGUUUGGUAUUCUUACGAGUUCCUUUUGGAGGAGAAUAACAGCAUUCAUAAGGCUGAAUGGUUUGUUUAACUGAAAGUGAGUGAGCUUUACCUAAAAACAUAAUGAUAAACCAAGAAUGACAGUGACAUCUCCACCUAUUACCAAGUUUAAGGAACUUUUUAUCAGUUGUCCCAUGAUUUUUAAUCAUUCUAGUUAGGUACACGUCUGGUUAGCUAGUUAGUGAGGCAAUCGCUUAUCAAAGCGAUGAUUAGUAGUUGGUCCAAGCGGAUGAUGAUUAGUAGUUGGUCCAAGCGGAUGAUCAACUACAUUGGGAUUGAGACCCGACCCACACUCCUAUGAGGGGCGGCAGUUGGGAAUUUUCCGGGAUGGGCAAAAGCCGGUAGUUGAGAAUUUCCAUAUGAGGGCCCCAAGAACAAUUGUUUUUAUGAUCAAGAUGGGCUUUCUAAUGAGUCAACAGUUAGAUAUGGUUGGUGUACUUACCAAUUUCUUGCUAAGGUUAGGUAGAGCAGGGUUGGUGCGCACAUUUUAAGGCUUCUAACUGUCCAUAGGUAAUAACUUAUACCAACUCAUGCUAAUUAUAAUCAUGAUAGUGGAUCAAUGUACUAAAAGUUCUUUAGUAUCAUUAUUUUGUCUACAAACAAAAACAGUGAGUUUUUUUGUUUUUUUUUUUGAGAAUAAGCUGUUAUGGUAACAUUCAAGUAGGACCUGAAAUGAGUAAUAAAGUGAACCUUAUGAUAUAAGUGAUAGUGAUGUUUUUAUGCUAACAAGACUAGCUAGAUACCACAAAUCUGAUACUAUAAGACUGAAAAGGUCCCAAAUAAAGAUGGACUAGUUAGUUCUAUGAGUUUACUGCACUCAUUGCUUUUGGUUCGAACUGUGCAUGCACAUGAACGAAGAAUUUAUUAUACAUAACAAAAUCAUACUCAUUUUGAACUCACCAAUGUUAGAUCUUGGAAUUGUGUCUGGUCCUAAAUCAGUUUCUUCGCAUUGUCUUGUACUGAGCAAUAAGUGAGCAUUGAUGAGGUCAAACUCAAAGGGUCCGAGCGUCCUACCAUUGUUCUAAAACUAGCAUUUAGAACCACUUGUGUAUCAUUGCAUUGUUCAUAAACUUCUUGGCUAGUUGAUUAUUCAACUGAUAUGCAUAAUUCUUGUCCAUGAGCAGCAAUUGAAACAACAUUGUGGUCAAUUGAAUGGGGUAUCGCGGAGCUAGUCAACCACCCUCACAUCCAACAGAAACUCCGUGAAGAGAUCGACGCAGUUCUUGGACCAGGAGUGCAAGUGACUGAGCCAGACACCCAAAAGCUUCCGUACCUUCAGGCUGUGAUCAAGGAGACUCUUAGACUCCGGAUGGCAAUUCCUCUUUUAGUCCCACACAUGAACCUUCAUGAUGCAAAGCUUGCUGGAUAUGAUAUUCCAGCAGAGAGCAAAAUCUUGGUUAACGCUUGGUGGUUGGCUAACAACCCCGCUCACUGGAAGAAACCGGAAGAGUUCAGGCCCGAGAGGUUCUUGGAAGAGGAGAAGCACG
rnacentral:lncRNA from 1 species